AUGCUGCAUGGAAGCCACAUCAUCACUUGCAUGGCCCCUCCAGCCAGCCGGGCACCUGAGAUGAGAACUGCACCCAACCCAGCACCACAGCUCAGCCCCCAGCAGCAGCCCCACCCUCUGCAACUGGCUUUUGUGCUGCUGCACCUUGGUAGCUAGCUCUGAUGGCCCAAAUGGCAACCACUGCAGCUGGCAUUGCUACAGGCUCUACUGUGGGGCACACACUGGGGGCUUUAGUGGAAGAAAUAAUGCUGAGCCUCCAAGGCCUGGCCUCACUUACCAAGAACCUCAGGGAACCCGGCCAGCACAGCAGCAGCAGCCUUGCUUCUGAGAUGAAACAGUUUUUGGAGCGUGGCCAGAACCAGGAUGACAUAAAGCUCUGUGAGGUCUCAAUGAGGUGCUGAAACAGUGCAGAUUUGCAAAUGGAAUAGCCUAAUCAAGAAGUCCAAACUGAAGAAAUGAAAAUGGCUCUCAUGACCAAGUUAAUUUAGCAUAAAAUAUAAUUGACAGUAAAGGUAUAAAGUAUAAAACCAUCAGUUAAAAUUCUCCUCUGUCAUUCAUAUCUUUCCUGCUUCAGAAUUACAAUGGAAGAGGGUGUUCUCAAUGUGUAGAAUUUCACCGAGAUGGUAUAGAAUUUUGGGCUGGACAAAUAUUUCUGUGGUUUCCUUAAACGAGCUGUUGUAAUUUUAUUGUUUGAGCGUUAAUUAGAAUAAAGUGAUUUUCUCAC